rnacentral:rRNA from 1 species
GACGAACGCUGGCGGCGUGCUUAACACAUGCAAGUCGAACGGAAAGGCCCUGCUUUUGUGGGGUGCUCGAGUGGCGAACGGGUGAGUAACACGUGAGUAACCUGCCCUUGACUUUGGGAUAACUUCAGGAAACUGGGGCUAAUACCGGAUAGGAGCUCCUGCUGCAUGGUGGGGGUUGGAUAGUUUCGGCGGUUGGGGAUGGACUCGCGGCUUAUCAGCUUGUUGGUGGGGUAGUGGCUUACCAAGGCUUUGCCGGGUAGCCGGCCUGAGAGGGUGACCGGCCACAUUGGGACUGAGAUACGGCCCAGACUCCUACGGGAGGCAGCAGUGGGGAAUAUUGCACAAUGGGCGGAAGCCUGAUGCAGCAACGCCGCGUGCGGGAUGACGGCCUUCGGGUUGUAAACCGCUUUCGCCUGUGACGAAGCGUGAGUGACGGUAAUGGGUAAAGAAGCACCGGCUAACUACGUG